GUAGGGAAUAUUGGUCAAUGGGCGCAAGCCUGAACCAGCCAUGCCGCGUGCAGGAAGACGGCCUUCUGGGUUGUAAACUGCUUUUAUUAGGGAACAAAGAGGCACUGCGGUGCAAGUUGCGUGUACCUAAUGAAUAAGCACCGGCUAACUCCGUGCCAGCAGCCGCGGUAAUACGGAGGGUGCAAGCGUUGUCCGGAUUUAUUGGGUUUAAAGGGUGCGUAGGCGGUUAGAUAAGUCAGUGGUGAAAUACUACAGCUCAACUGUAGAGGUGCCAUUGAAACUGUCUGACUUGAGUGCAGAUGAGGUAGGCGGAAUUUAUGGUGUAGCGGUGAAAUGCAUAGAUACCAUAAAGAACACCGAUAGCGAAGGCAGCUUACUAGACUGCAACUGACGCUGAGGCACGAAAGCAUGGGUAGCGAACAGG
rnacentral:rRNA from 1 species